CCCUUUUCAUGAGAUGCAGAGCCUGGAGAGGAGCGGAGCCGGCAGGAGCAGCAUGUUGCAGCCGCUAUUCUAGGGGCGCUGGGUGAAGUGGGCUGCCCUCUGCCACCCUCUCCCAGGUGCCAGGAGGAGGUGGCUGACUCUAUCACUCAGGGCCUCACCGAACCAUGCCCAGCUGGGGCCCGCACCAGCCACACCUUCCCAGCUGCGCUGCCCACCGCCAGGUGAUGCUGACACUGCUGGUUCAGGGACCACGCUUGGAGAACCACUACACUAGGGCAAGCAGGAAGAGAGUCCUCCUUCUGGAACUGAAGCAGGCAGUGUGAAGACCCAUGUGGAACACCUUAACCCGAAGCCUCUCUGACCAUCCAGUUGGCAAAGACCCUCAGGCCAUGAGGACUGGCCAAAGACAGUGAGAGGACGUGCAAGGGUAAAUUCCUGAGCCCCGCAGUCUUAUUUCCUGCCCUGACGUCCCUGCAUACCAGCCCAAGGGUUAACCGUAAGCUGAUGCCUGUAUGGCGGCCUUACUGAUGCCACGCAGGAACAAAGGGAUGAGGACUCGACUGGGA
rnacentral:lncRNA from 1 species